CAGCCGUAAACUAUGCGCGUUAGGUGUAUCGGUGACCACGAGUUACCGAGGUGCCGAAGGGAAACCGUGAAACGUGCCGCCUGGGAAGUACGGUCGCAAGGCUGAAACUUAAAGGAAUUGGCGGGGGAGCACCACAACAGGUGGAGCCUGCGGUUUAAUCGGACUCAACGCCGGGAAGCUCACCGGAUAGGACAGCAGAAUGAUUGCCGGGCUGAAGACUCUGCAUGACUAGCUGAGAGGAGGUGCAUGGCGUCAGUGACU
rnacentral:rRNA from 1 species